CCUUAAAGUCGGAGACAAUGGCCUGGGCUUCAGAAACCGGUCCCUUAGUAACACGGGCUGCGAUUAAAGCUGGUUCAGUCUCCAGGAUAACACCAUCAUCGAUAGUUUCAUCGACAACAAUAACCAAUUGAUCAUAGUUCUCUAAUAGAGUGCGUUUAUCUGGAACAUAUUUAAACAGUAAUUCAAGAGCAUCUCGAAUCGACCGUAAACACUCAUAAAGCAUCACCUCAUUUUCUUCCAUUCCACCGA